rnacentral:misc_RNA from 1 species
CGGCAGGGAGGUAGAUUAUAGUUAGUAGACGUCCGCUAAGAACGGAUUUUGCGAUAUUCCACCGCUAAGGGGGUUUAAUUGGGGUUGAUAGUUUGUAUGAAACAUAUACAGCAACUAUAAGUUCGCCUGAUAGGUUAUUUAUACUGCAGCCUGAAAAUAAAACUAAAAAUGUGGUUUAUAGAGAGGUUUUAUAAAAAUAACUAUUAAAUUAUACUAAAUUGUGCCUUUUAAAAAGUUACUCAGUGUGAUAAGCAUUUCAAGUGACUGAAAUAAAAAAAAUUGUGUGAAACAUCGUGAUAGUAAUGCAUAUCUUCAUAACCACGCGGACAUAGUCGCGGGCUAAAGUUAGUGUAAAACAAAGUCCCCAAAAGUGUAUGUGAUCGAUUCCCUCAAAAUCUACUGAACGAAUUUUCAUGUGG